rnacentral:rRNA from 1 species
CUACGGGUGGCUCCAGUGAGGAAUUUUGCGCAAUGGGGGGAACCCUGACGCAGCAACGCCGCGUGAGUGACGAAGGCUUUCGGGUCGUAAAGCUCUGUCAAGUGGGAAGAACCUAUGCAGUGUUAAUAUCACUGUAUACUGACGGUACCACUGAAGGAAGCACCGGCUAACUCCGUGCCAGCAGCCGCGGUAAUACGGGGGGUGCAAGCGUUAUUCGGAAUCAUUGGGCGUAAAGGGCACGUAGGCGGCUUGGUAAGUCAGAUGUGAAAGCCCGGGGCUUAACCCCGGAAGUGCAUUUGAUACUGUCAGGCUUGAGUAUGGGAGAGGGAAGUGGAAUUCCUGGUGUAGAGGUGAAAUUCGUAGAUAUCAGGAGGAACACCGGUGGCGAAGGCGACUUCCUGGACCAAUACUGACGCUGAGGUGCGAAGGCGUGGGUAGCAAACAGGAUUAGAUACCCUUGUAGUC